rnacentral:rRNA from 1 species
UACAGAGGGUGCGAGCGUUGUUCGGAAUUAUUGGGCGUAAAGCGCUUGUAGGCGGCACGUCAAGUCGCGUGUGAAAUCCCCAGGCUUAACCUGGGAAGUGCGCGCGAAACUGACGAGCUUGAGUGCCGGAGAGGGUCGCGGAAUUCCCGGUGUAGAGGUGAAAUUCGUAGAUAUCGGGAGGAACACCAGUGGCGAAGGCGGCGACCUGGACGGACACUGACGCUGAGACGGCGAAAGCGUGGGGAGCAAACAGGAUUAGAAACCCCCAGGUAGUC